CGGACUUAAAAAAUCCGUCGACUUUAAAAAUCGUGAGGGUUCAAGUCCCUCUAUCCCCA
rnacentral:tRNA from 2 species